AGAGUUUGAUCAUGGCUCAGGGAUUGAAUGCUGGCGGCGUGCCUAAUACAUGCAAGUCGAGCGGUAAGGCCCUUCGGGGUACACGAGCGGCGGACGGCUGAGUAACGCGUGGGAACAUGCCCCAAAGUGAGGGAUAACGCACCGAAAGGUGUGCUAAUACCGCAUAUGGUCUUCGGAUUAAAGGAUUUAUCCGCUUUGGGAGUGGCCCGCGUACGAUUAGAUUGUUGGUGAGGUAACGGCUCACCAAGUCGACGAUCGUUAACUGGUCUGAGAGGAUGAUCAGUCAGACUGGAACUGAGACACGGUCCAGACUCCUACGGGAGGCAGCAGUAAGGAAUCUUCCACAAUGGGCGAAAGCCUGAUGGAGCAACGCCGCGUGCAGGAUGAAGGCCCUCGGGUCGUAAACUGCUUUUAUGAGUGAAGAAUAUGACGGUAACUCAUGAAUAAGCACCGGCUAACUACGUG
rnacentral:rRNA from 1 species